GAUGAACGCUGGCGGCGUGCCUAAUACAUGCAAGUCGAGCGAACAGAUGAGGAGCUUGCUCCUCUGACGUUAGCGGCGGACGGGUGAGUAACACGUGGAUAACCUACCUAUAAGACUGGGAUAACUUCGGGAAACCGGAGCUAAUACCGGAUAAUAUAUUGAACCGCAUGGUUCAAUAGUGAGAGACGGUUUUGCUGUCACUUAUAGAUGGAUCCGCGCCGCAUUAGCUAGUUGGUAAGGUAACGGCUUACCAAGGCAACGAUGCGUAGCCGACCUGAGAGGGUGAUCGGCCACACUGGAACUGAGACACGGUCCAGACUCCUACGGGAGGCAGCAGUAGGGAAUCUUCCGCAAUGGGCGAAAGCCUGACGGAGCAACGCCGCGUGAGUGAUGAAGGUCUUCGGAUCGUAAAACUCUGUUAUUAGGGAAGAACAAAUGUGUAAGUAACUAUGCACGUCUUGACGGUACCUAAUCAGAAGGCCACGGCUAACUACG
rnacentral:rRNA from 1 species